rnacentral:lncRNA from 1 species
CAGUUUUGUCGCUCCCGUUGGACACAGUGGAAUCUGGUCAUUUGGUGUCAAUGCUGUGUCAGAAGGCUUAUCAGGUUGGUCGCAAUCUGUGAUGGGGAACCAUCCAAUGCAUCAACAAUUAUCAGACCCAAGCACAUUCUCCCAACAUCAGCCAAUGGAGAGAGAUGAUUCUGGAAUGGUAGCCCCCUCUAACAUUUUUCAUCAGCCUAUGGCAAGUGGUUUUGUGGAUUUUUCUAAAGGUCUGCCAAUUUCCAUGUAUGGAGGCACCAUAAUACCCUCUCAUCCUCAGCUUGCUGAUGUUCCAGGAGGCCCUCUGUUUAAUGGACUUCACAAUCCAGAUCCUGCUUGGAACCCUAUGAUAAAAGUUAUCCAAAAUUCAACUGAAUGCACUGAUGCCCAGCAGGCCAGUCUGCUUCCUUCAGUCCCUGCUCUCAAAGGGGAAAUCCCAUCACCUCAGCUAACCAGACCGAAGAAGAGAAUUGGACGGCCGAUGGUGGCCUCUCCUAACCAGAGGCACCAGGAUCAUCUACGACCGAAAGUUCCUGCUGGAGUGCAAGAACUCACCCAUUGCCCGGACACCCCCCUGCUGCCUCCCUCAGAUUCCCGGGGUCACAACUCCUCCAACAGCCCCUCUCUCCAAGCUGGAGGAGCUGAAGGAGCAGGAGACAGAGGAAGAGAUACCCGAUGACGCACAAUUUGAAAUGGACAUCUAAUCCAGUGCAGAUGACCUGGCAUGUGGAGUUACAGAGGGAUCCCUCAUGCCACUGCUGCCACCACCUCUUCCUGGGGCAUCCAAAGGCCAGCUGGCCUCAUCUAAUCUGGAAGGGAGUGACUUGUUAGUUCCAGGCCUCCUUUAGUUCUGAGGCAGCUAGACCAGGGAUAGGAGUGGGCAACUUGCCAAGCCCUUAACUCUACUUCCUCUUCAGUCUGUGGUACUCCUCCUAACCCUAAACCCUCUAUGCUCAGGGGCUGGAACUGGGGAAUGGAGUAAGUCACCUUCUGACUGCUUAGUAAACAUUCAAAGAAAUGCCUUGGC